rnacentral:rRNA from 1 species
CCUACGGGAGGCAGCAGUGGGGGAUAUUGCACAAUGGAGGAAACUCUGAUGCAGCGACGCCGCGUGAGGGAAGACGGCCUUCGGAUUGUAAACCUCUGUCUUUGGGGAAGAAAAUGACGGUACCCAAAGCGGAAGCUCCGGCUAACUACGUGCCAGCAGCCGCGGUAAUACGUAGGGAGCGAGCGUUGUCCGGAAUUACUGGGUGUAAAGGGAGCGUAGGCGGGCGGGAAAGUUGAAUGUUAAAUCUACCGGCUUAACUGGUAGCUGCGUUCGAAACUUCUUGUCUUGAGUGUAGUAGAGGCAGGCGGAAUGCCUGGUGUAGCGGUGAAAUGCGUAGAUAUUAGGAGGAACACCGGUGGCGAAGGCAGCCUGCUGGGCUUUAACUGACGCUGAGGCUCGAAAGCGUGGGGAUCGAACAGGAUUAGAUACCCUAGUAGUC